GCUGGACACCUAGAGAUGUUAUAAUCCAACAGGGAGCUGACGGCGACACACACACACACUAUAAUAUACGGGGUCGCGAAGUUAAGUUAAUUAUCAGGCAAAAGUAGUGAUCGCGAAGAUGGUAAAAUGUCAACUAGGUGAAUGCAACGUAUACACUAUAGAGGUUAAUAAUUUGACCUAGUUAUCGAACACCUAAAUGACCUAUGUAUUAACAUAUGAAGGUGAAAGUGUGGUAAGGAGUAAAACCAGAAUAAAUAAAAGUCCAUGCAUAGUUAAGAUACGUCUUAAUCUCGUUGUGUAGUUGUCCUGUGGCACAUAAGCGGACGGAAAUGCCUCUACCUAUAAGGAUGGUGGUGAUACACAUUAAUCCGAAUGUCACUGGAAUUUUAUCCCUAUUCAUCCCUAUGGGAGGGAUUGUAACGAACCAUAUAUUGUUUUGUGUAAGAAAAUUUGCUAAUUCCGAAAUUGCAUUUGAGUAAUCUUGUAGAUUGAACGCACAAAUGUUUGGAUAUCCUAGUGGACCUUGUUGGCUUACCGAAUUGUUUACUAAAUAAUGUGGCUACUCCUCGGGACAUUCUCCUGGGAUUGUCGAAGUCGCUGCUGGCGCAG